AUUGAACGCUGGCGGCAGGCCUAACACAUGCAAGUCGAGCGGAUGAAGAGAGCUUGCUCUCUGAUUUAGCGGCGGACGGGUGAGUAAUGCCUAGGAAUCUGCCUGGUAGUGGGGGAUAACGUUCCGAAAGGAACGCUAAUACCGCAUACGUCCUACGGGAGAAAGCAGGGGACCUUCGGGCCUUGCGCUAUCAGAUGAGCCUAGGUCGGAUUAGCUAGUUGGUGAGGUAAUGGCUCACCAAGGCGACGAUCCGUAACUGGUCUGAGAGGAUGAUCAGUCACACUGGAACUGAGACACGGUCCAGACUCCUACGGGAGGCAGCAGUGGGGAAUAUUGGACAAUGGACGAAAGCCUGAUCCAGCCAUGCCGCGUGUGUGAAGAAGGUCUUCGGAUUGUAAAGCACUUUAAGUUGGGAGGAAGGGCAGUAAGUUAAUACCUUGCUGUUUUGACGUUACCGACAGAGUAAGCACCGGCUAACUUCGUGCCAGCCGCCGCAGUAACAC
rnacentral:rRNA from 1 species